UACGUAGGUGGCGAGCGUUGUCCGGAAUGACUGGGCGUAAAGGGAGCGUAGGUUGCGAUUUAAGUUAGGUGUGAAAGCCUGUAGCUUAACUACAGAAUUGCAUUUAAAACUGGAUUGCUAGAGUACAGGAGGGGUAAGCGGAAUUCCUAGUGUAGCGGUGGAAUGCGUAGAUAUUAGGAAGAACACUGGAGGCGAAGGCGGCUUACUGGACUGCAACUGACACUGAGGCUCGAAAGCGUGGGGAGCAAACAGG
rnacentral:rRNA from 1 species